rnacentral:rRNA from 1 species
AACGAACGCUGGCGGCAUGCCUAACAUAUGCAAGUCGAACGAUGUCUUUCGGGGCAUAGUGGCGCACGGGUGCGUAACGCGUGGGAAUCUGCCCUUGGGUUCGGAAUAACCGUUGGAAACGACGGCUAAUACCGGAUGAUGUCGAUAAGACCAAAGAUUUAUCGCCUGAGGAUGAGCCCGCGUAGGAUUAGCUAGUUGGUGUGGUAAGAGCGCACCAAGGCGACGAUCCUUAGCUGGUCUGAGAGGAUGAUCAGCCACACUGGGACUGAGACACGGCCCAGACUCCUACGGGAGGCAGCAGUGGGGAAUAUUGGACAAUGGGCGCAAGCCUGAUCCAGCAAUGCCGCGUGAGUGAUGAAGGCCUUAGGGUUGUAAAGCUCUUUUACCCGGGAUGAUAAUGACUGUACCCACAGAAGAAGCCCCGGCUAACUCCGUGCCAGCCGCCGCAGUAA